GACAUCAGGAGGUUAGUGCAAUGGCAUAAGCCAGCUUGACUGCGAGCGUGACGGCGCGAGCAGGUGCGAAAGCAGGUCAUAGUGAUCCGGUGGUUCUGAAUGGAAGGGCCAUCGCUCAACGGAUAAAAGGUACUCCGGGGAUAACAGGCUGAUACCGCCCAAGAGUUCAUAUCGACGGCGGUGUUUGGCACCUCGAUGUCGGCUCAUCACAUCCUGGGGCUGAAGUAGGUCCCAAGGGUAUGGCUGUUCGCCAUUUAAAGUGGUACGCGAGCUGGGUUUAGAACGUCGUGAGACAGUUCGGUCCCUAUCUGCCGUGGGCGCUGGAGAACUGAGGGGGGCUGCUCCUAGUACGAGAGGACCGGAGUGGACGCAUCACUGGUGUUCGGGUUGUCAUGCCAAUGGCACUGCCCGGUAGCUAAAUGCGGAAGAGAUAAGUGCUGAAAGCAUCUAAGCACGAAACUUGCCCCGAGAUGAGUUCUCCCUGAGACUUAGAGUCUCCU
rnacentral:rRNA from 1 species